UAGGAACUAGGCCAGGUCUAAUUCAACUUGCGGUGGUUAGACCUAUAGGAUCUUAAUUUGCCUUUGGCCUCCAGUGUAAGGUCUAGGCAAUGGGCUGCACAAGGAGUCCAAAACAACUUCCUUUUUUCCAUCGGUAAUUUACCAGCUGCAACAUAGUUGGCUGCAUUGACAGUAACCAUUUGAAUUACAUGCUCCUCUCUAAUCUCUUCAAUCUUACUAUCAGGCAGCUGAAACAACAUAUUAGCAUCUUGUAUAUGACUAGAUGCAUCCACAGACCCCAUGAAGAAAGUACGCUCUUGGCAGUUGACAAGAAAAUUAUCAGGGAUCUCCGCCAGGGAAUUGCCAACCCUUAUCUGCAACUGCUCCAAUUUCAGCUGCAUUGACCUCUCACAAAACUCAUUCGUCGGAAAAAUUCCUGUUGAUGUCGAUAAACUCUCUUAUAUCCAAUUUCUCAACCUCGGUUCCAGCAAUUUCAACGGCAAUAUUCCUCUGGCGAUCAGGCUGUUAUUGGAGUUGCAGUCUGUGUUGCUCAGUUAUAACCUCUCCAAUGGAUCUCUCUCUCUCUCUCUCUCUCUCUCAUUUUUAGAAUUGAUGGAACCCAUUUUAUAGGUCCGAUAAUUUGUAGUUUCUGUUUCUUCUAUGCUAUUACUGGUAGAGAAAAUCUUGUUUUGAUCUUGUUUCAGUCUCUCAUUGUAAUUCUGGUGAUCGAUUUCCUGCGUCUUUCCAUUAAAACAUCAUUGAUCAUCUCAAAGCUGAUCUUGGUUUACUUUGGAUCCCAUGUUCUUUAUUUCAAGAUUUUCUAAGCUAAGAGCUUUGACAAGCCCAA